UACGUAGGGUGCAAGCGUUAUCCGGAUUCACUGGGUUUAAAGGGUGCGUAGGCGGGCAGGUAAGUCAGUGGUGAAAUCUCCGAGCUUAACUCGGAAACUGCCAUUGAUACUAUUUGUCUUGAAUAUUGUGGAGGUAAGCGGAAUAUGUCAUGUAGCGGUGAAAUGCUUAGAUAUGACAUAGAACACCAAUUGCGAAGGCAGCCUACUACACAAUGAUUGACGCUGAGGCACGAAAGCGUGGGGAUCAAACAGG
rnacentral:rRNA from 1 species